CUGCUUGGCCUUGGCGACGGGGGCGCGCACCGGCUCAUCGGGUCCCAGCGUCACAAUGUGGAGAUCCGGGCUCAGGUCUCCGUCCUGCUGCUCCAGCAGCUCCGGGUCCAUGGUCAUGAGGAAAGAAGCGAACUGAGGUAGAACUGGAAAGGUGGGAAUCUGUGUCCCUGCACCACACACACGGAGGGAGAAGAAAAAAUAGUAGCAUGAUGCUAAUGCAACUGCUGUUUGGAUAACCUGAUAACACAGACUGGUCAAAUAUUUACUCUUGCACUUUUCUACAGUGUUCAUUUCCUGUUAUUACAACUAAUCGUGUCUCGUUUGUGUGCCCGCUCCUCACCAAAUGUUAUUGGAGGCUCGUCUGGUGGCGGGUUCAAAGUUGACCAGGGACAUGUCGCACCCCAUGGCCUCAUACAAGGAGGGUGUGAGUUUUCCUGAAAAUAAAGAAAGGGUAGAACGGUCAUUAUCGAUGGCGGUCGCGCUAGAGGAGCCUGCAGACGCUUGGUCAACAAACGCAGAUAACUGGAGCAUGGAUAAUGCGCACUGCGCUUGGGGAUCUGAUCGCAUCAGUUGGCCAAACGCGAACGACUGACUGACUGCAACGACCGCAGCUUCGCCAAACUUGGGACAUUCUGUGUCCUCGAGCGGGUUCACUGUUCCGCUUCGAACCGGGAGAAUCGUUUCAAAACAUGCAACGUGCGCCGGUUCCCCACCGAGGUCGUCCUGCAAGCUGCUGGCGCCGACAGUCGAGGCCUUGUCCUGAGAACCAUCCAGGUGUGCGCUUCCAUUCCUGGCCAGCAGGGAGGCGCUGGCGCUCAGCACCGUCACCUGGGAGGCGGUGCGAGACGGCUGAGUGGACUUGGUGGGAGGCUGGGACGCUUGACUGAGCGCCUCCUGGAGGCUGCAGGAGGCAAGUGGGGGAGGAAUAAAGUGAGGGGUUUUUUUUGGGGGGGGGGGUGAAACACGUGUUUGGGAAAACAAGUUCUCGGGCUUCAAUAAAGUUCAAAGUCGGAAAUGUCUCCAAAUCACUUUCAGAGCGACUGAAAAACAAACAAAUCGAUGCGACACAGCAGAACGGGCAAAUCAUGCGCGCUUGUGAGGAGAUUGAUUCGUCAGGACUUGCAAUGUUGAAAGGACUCUAUUCUUUGCGCGCUCAUCCAAAAUACUGUUAAAAAGACGACACGAUAUCAUCGUAGCUGGAAAAAGGAUGAACGAGAUCACAUGCUGAGCGAGACGUAACGACGACGCGUGAUCAAAGUGUGAUUCAGGGAUAGAUGAUUUUCUGGGAAACAAAUCUGAGUCGCUCUCGUACGAUGUGGUCACAUGCUGACAUCGGUUUGUGAAGGACGUUGUACCUGAGGGGAGAGCCAAUGAGAGAGGAUGGCGGCGUGGGGUUACUGCCCGCGUUAUGCCGCCGUCGCACCGCCUGCCGGCGAAACGUGCUCCGCUCACGGCGGAAGACCACCGUCUCCUCGCUGCCGGGGGCUGUGAUGGCAAGCGGCGGCGUCCUGAGACUCCAAGAACACGGCCUGGCUGGGCAGACUGUUCCUGGAGCGUGUCACCGACUCCAGCUGGGAGGCGCGACCUAGCAGGGAGGCGGCAUCCAGAACCUCCC